rnacentral:tRNA from 1 species
AUAUGGGUAAGCUAAUCAAGCUAAUGAGUUCAUACCUCAUAAAUGGAAAAUAUUAUUCCUAUUAUA